UAUUGUGAUGACAAAAGAAGAAGCUUAACAUUUUAUAUAGGAAGUGCCGUCUGAGAGUUCUGCUCGGUGACCAAGCUAAUUCAUUCUGA
rnacentral:snoRNA from 1 species